rnacentral:rRNA from 1 species
CGCCACAGCCAUAUCACCCUGCAGCCCAAGACCAGUUACUCACUGAAGCUAAGCAGGGCUGAGCCUGGUCAAUACCUGCAUGGGAGACCACUAGGGAACACUAGGUUGCUGUUGGAA